rnacentral:lncRNA from 1 species
GAUUAUAGAAAAUAGGAAAGUCUUGAUAUUUAGGAGUUAUCUAAAUAUCAUGAGUUGUGAGUUUAGGACUUUAAUCUCUUAUAUAUAUGGAGGUAUCAACGUGUGAUAGAACAUAAGUUUUAUGUGCUUUAGUUUUGAGUGAUUUUCUAAGGCUUUGAGAUUGAUUAAUAAGAGAGCUAAUUCCUAUUAAAGUGUGUCCUGUGUUUUGCUUAAUCGAAACUACAAAGUCCAGUGCUUCAGUGCGCUGAACUGAUCUUCUAGGCGAUCCCUAUUAAUGAAAGAAAUAUGGUUCCAAGUGUUGAUACUUAUAAACUAUUGUCAAAUUCAUAUACGUAAUAUAAAACCAAAAGAAAUAAAGUAUACCUCCGGUGCAUCGGAGAUGAUGGAGUGCUCUGGAUCAAAACUGUUAUCCAGUGAAUCCUAAAUAUAAGAUUCCAUGGUUUAAAAUACAUUAGUUUUUGCUCAAAUUCAUGAUUGGAAUCAUAAUGUACUCAAAACAUAUUUCAAU